rnacentral:misc_RNA from 1 species
AAGAGACGUUGCCCUUCGGGGUAUACCUCCCACCCUUUGUUUAUUAUACCUUUGUUGCCUUGGCGGGCCCGUCCUCGGACCACCGGCUUCUGCUGGUCAGUGCCCGCCAGAGGACCUAAAACUCUGUUUGUUAAUAUUGUCUGAGUACUAUAUAAUAGUUA